rnacentral:rRNA from 2 species
CAACUCUAUGCGGUGGAUCACUCCGCU